GUCCUGACGCUCCGAUGGCGAUCUUGUUUCUCUCAGACUCGGGCAUGGACGGGUCUGAGGACAGACAGGUAGACAGGUUAGCAGAGAGACAGGUAGACAGGUUAAGAGACAGGUAGACAGGUUAAGAGACAGGUAGACAGGUUAAGAGACAGGAAGAUAGGUGAGCAGAGAGACAGGUUAAGAGACAGGAAGACAGGUUAAGAGACAGACAGGUAGACAGGUUAGCAGAGAGACAGGUUAAGAGACAGGUAGACAGGUUAAGAGACAGACAGGUAGACAGGUUAGCAGAGAGACAGGUUAAGAGACAGGAAGACAGGUUAAGAGACAGGUAGACAGGUUAAGAGAGAGACAGGUAGACAGACAGACAGGUAGACAGGUUAGCAGAGAGACAGGUAGACAGGUUAGCAGAGAGACAGGUAGACAGGUUAAGAGACAGGUAGACAGGUGAGCAGAGAGACAGGUGAAGAGACAGGAAGACAGGUUAAGAGACAGGUAGACAGGUUAAGAGACAGGUAGAC